rnacentral:rRNA from 1 species
UACGGGGGGGGCAAGCGUUGUUCGGAUUUACUGGGCGUAAAGGGCGCGUAGGCGGCCACUGCAAGUCGGUUGUGAAAUCUCCGGGCUUAACUCGGAAAGGUCAAUCGAUACUGCAGGGCUAGAGUGCAGAAGGGGCAACUGGAAUUCUCGGUGUAGCGGUGAAAUGCGUAGAUAUCGAGAGGAACACCUGCGGCGAAGGCGGGUUGCUGGGCCGACACUGACGCUGAGGCGCGAAAGCCAGGGGAGCGAACGGG